rnacentral:tmRNA from 1 species
GGGGAUGCUUGGUCUCGACAGGGAGCGCAAGCCGUAGAUUGCAGGUCGUGCCGCCCAGUCACGUUAAAGGGGCAAACGGCAAUAACUGCCAACAACAAGAACUGGGCCCGUGCUUCUUAUGGGAGCAUGGCCCUCGCCGCCUAAUUAGGUAGCGCGUCGUCCUCAGUUCACCCGAUGGCUGGGGGUACGACGUCAGCAAGUCGGGUGCUUCUCGGGUAAACGCCGGUUAGCCUGAGACUAAGAUAAACCGGCUUGCCCAAAGGCUGUUCUGCUCAUCGUAUGGCCGCGGGCGAGCUCAAACGAUGGGAUAAACCUGUAGACGUGUGCGGUCCAACUUUCUGGACGGGGGUUCGACUCCCCCCAUCUCCACCA